UGGGGGUUUAAGAAUAUACGACCGCUGCUGUCUGGAUUUUAAUUUUACAGUCGGAUUAUUGUCUCACCAUCAUGAGCACGAGCGUACCCUAUCAGCAAAGCUCAUGCAGCAGUGAACGGCGCUCUGGACCAAUCAACUGCUAUCGCUGCCGGGAGGUGUGCAAAGGGGAGGUGGUACGAGUGCAAAGUGUACACUUCCACAUUAAAUGCUUCACCUGCCAAGUGUGUGGCUGUGAUUUGGCACAUUCUGGAUUCUUUCAGAAGAGUGGUGAAUACAUCUGCACAGCAGACUACCAGAGGCUUUAUGGCACAAAGUGUGACAGCUGUGGGGAUUUUAUCUCAGGGGAGGUGGUCUCCGCGCUGGGACGGACAUACCAUCCACAGUGUUUCGUCUGCAGUGUGUGUAGGAAACCCUUUCCAAUCGGGGACAGAGUGACAUUCAGUGGCAAAGAAUGUGUCUGUCAGCAGUGCUCCCUCAAGCUGGUUAAUUCCAAUGAGCCAAUCAAAAUCCAUGGGCCAAGUCACUGUGCAGGAUGUAAGGAGGAGAUCAAACAGGGUCAAUCACUGCUAGCAUUGGAGAAACAGUGGCAUGUCAGCUGUUUCAGGUGUCAAACUUGUGGCCUGGUCCUGACAGGCGAGUACAUCAGCAAAGAUGGCAUUCCUUACUGCGAGUCAGACUACCACGCCCAGUAUGGGAUAAAGUGUGAAACCUGUGACAGAUACAUCAGUGGACGAGUGCUAGAGGCUGGAGGAAAGCACUAUCACCCCACAUGUGCUCGUUGUGCCCGUUGUCAGAUGAUGUUUACAGAGGGAGAGGAGAUGUACCUCACAGGUUCAGAGGUGUGGCAUCCUGUGUGUAAACAGGCGGCACGCUCAGAGAGGAAACUAAGAUUCAGGCGCACAUCAGAAACCUCAGUCUCUCCUCCAGGCUCCAGCAUUAGUUCACCCAGCAGGGUCAUCUGUGCGAAAUUGGAGAACGAGCUCCUUGAUUACAAAGACUUGGCAGCGCUGCCUAAGGUUAAAGCCAUUUAUGAGGUUCAGAGGCCAGACCUCUGGUCCUAUGAGCCCUGUCACAGAUACUGCUCCAAUGACAGGCUAGAGCACCUCAUCUAUGGGGAGUCCUUGGGCACACUCUCCCCUUAUUCUCAGGACAUGUACGACAGUAUGGACAUUAGGCUGAGGCGAUCCUCCAGUCCAGGGUACAUAGACUCCCCCACCUACAGCAGGCAGGGCAUGUCUCCCAUCAUGCCUCGCUCUCCUCAGUACUACUACAGAUACGGCACUGAGAGUGGCAGAAGUUCACCCUAUUACAAUCAGCUAGAUGCCCGAUCCAGCACGCCCACCACAAACCAAGCUCCCAAGCAUUUCCAUGUACCAGCCUCAGGAGAGCCCAACAUCUAUAGGAAACCUCCCAUCUAUAAGAGACAUGACAAUCACUGCAAUCCAGCAGCUAAGAGCAAGACGAGUGAGGACAUUGUCCAUUCUUCCAAGUUUUCAUUAGCCUACUCGCCUGAACACUACCAGCAAUCAGAGCCUGAUUACUACCAUUACACCAGCUCUCCUAAAUCUCUACGUGCUCCACGGAGAAGAUACUCAUCAGGAGGAGAAGAGGAUGGUUGGAGUCACGGUCUUCAAAGAAUUCAGGGUGGGAUCGGCAGGAUGAUCCUAAAGGAGGAGAUGAAAGCCCGCUCUGGUUCCUAUGACAACGACCCCUGGGGUAGUGCACGAAACUCCCGCAGUGGGAGCAGGGAGAUGUUACACAGCAUGGGCCACAACAACACAGUUAAUGGCUCUCCUCGGACAAACUUAGCAGCUGAGAAUGACUACAUUUCCAAAUCAGCAUCUUUACCAGGAUAUGGCAGGAAUGGAUUAAACAGGCCACAAAGUGCUGACUGCUUUCAGUAUGACAGUGGCAGUGAAGCCGACUGGGGAAUCAGAGCAGAGUACAAGGUAAGGGAGAUGGUUAAAAUUUACCAGAGGAUUAAAGAGGUGCCCAAAGAAACACUAAAACAUCCAAGUUCAGAGACACACUUGAAACAUUAGCCCACAUUCCGACUCCAGAGGAAAACUGACAUAUACAGUAUGUCAAUCUAAUGAACCCUAAUGGGUCAAAACAACGUCCUGCUGGUAAAAGCGUGUGGAAUUUAGAGAAUGGGGAAAUCAGUGCUUCCAGGUCAGAAGGCCACUGUGUAAUUCCCCAGCUUGCCCUUAGUGGGUCAGGGAUGACAGGAUAGCCAGAGGACAUGGAGGGGUCAGGGGUUUGUUUGAUGUCUGUGCUCUUCGUCGUGUGAGAACUUUAUUGUUCUGUGUGGUGUCGCUUCCUGUCUGUGUUACAGCUACUGUGCCAGAAGGUCUGAACCACAACAUAAAUUGAUUUAAUUUAGCUUGUUUAAUUAAGAUAUUUAGAUUAGUGACCAGUGAAAAAAGACAGUUGUUGUAGUUAAAUAAGCGAGACAAAUAUCAAUUAGAUUAAUAUGUUAAAGAAACAUGUUUAGUCUAAUGCAUUUUAAUGGCUUCUCUUUUAUUACAGAUUUACCCAUAUGAAGCACUGAUUGUGACCACUAGAGGGCGAAAUAGAUUGCCAAAGGAUGUAGACAGGGCCAGAUUGGAGCGUCAUCUGUCCCCUGAAGAGUUCUUUCAGGUGUUUGGGAUGACAGUGGCAGAGUUUGACCGGUUGGCACUGUGGAAGAGGAAUGAGAUGAAGAAACAAGCCAGGCUGUUCUAGUGUGCCUGCCUCACACACCCAGAGACCUGAUUACCUGUUCCAGUCUAACUAAACAAAUAAAUCCUGUGUCUCAGAUGUAUAGUCAUGCCUGGACUGUUCCAAGAAAUGUGCAACUGUCCUGUUUGACAGGGGCAUAUAAAUUAUCAGACAGGCUAAAAUACCUGACAAAGAAAGACAACUUAACAGGAAUGGUGGGAUCAUUUUAGGUUUUCACUUGAGUAAAGUGGUUCUUUUUUUCUUUUUUUCUUUAUGAAUGACAAAAAUAAAAAAUCAGGAAUUAGAAGGAAUUUGAAUUAUGCCUUAUGUUCUCAGUUCAUUUAUGCACCAGCAAAAAGAGUUAACAGAAUGUAGAUACAAUUAUAUAGUAUUAUACUGCUUUGAAGGGGUUUAAUAAUAAAUAAGCGAUGAUUUGUUUGACAAUGAAUACCAAAGUCUGACUGUUAUUUGUACUGUUACCAGAAGAAAUUUCAUGAAAUAGCAAAUACUGAAUGUAUUUUACACAAAAAGAUUUUAGGAUUAGACUAAGUGUGCUGAACCAUACAUUAGAUAUUGUGCUGGUAGAGAUAUGUAUGAAUAUAUGAAAUAAACCAUAAAAAUGAAACAGAUACUACAAAAGGAUUAUGGUGCAAUGUUUUUUUUUUUUUUUUUUUUUGCUCUUUCAAAAUAUAUUGUUUCAUUAUAUUUAACAUCACACCUGGUAUGAUUGAUCAGAUAAUGCUGUGAUACAUUAAAGAGGAUUAUUAUCUUUUUGAUCCAUGCCAAGGCGAUUCCUGUGUUACGCCAUAUGAUUUGAUCUUAAGUUAUGAUGCAGAUGUAAGUAAAUAUGAAUUGUCUGGACAAUUUCACAUGUUCACAAUCACGUAUUAUUAGACUGAAAUGCACAUCUGACCAGCGAGUGAGAUAAUAAACUGUAACCUUGAGUUGGACCUAACAGUAACCGUGGGGUCUUUCAUGCCAAGAGAUAAUUACUGACUAAAGUAGUUUUGUACCUCACUGACAAACAAGCACAACCAUCAUGUUUUCUGCCUCUGUGUGUAGUGUUUACAACCUGUUUGCCCAAUAGAUGAAGUGUUCUAUUAAUUUCAUAGUGAAGGAAGAGAGCUGUAUAAUAAUCAUAUUUUUGAUUCUCUCUUUAUAAAUCACUACUGCAACCAUGCUAACUUUAUUUAUCUGUCAGUUUCAACAGACUAUGUACAUCUUAUAUUGAAUUAAAAGUUUGUUUUCUUGU